rnacentral:rRNA from 1 species
ACUAGAGUAGCACUCGCAUAUCAAUAAGCGGAGGAAAAGAAACUAACAAGGAUUCCCUUAGUAACGGCGAGUGAAGCGGGAAGAGCUCAAAUUUGAAAUCUUCAAGGUUUUACCUUGACGAAUUGUAGUUUAAAGAAGUGUUUUCUGUUGAAGUUUUGGUAAAAGUUCUUUGGAAUAGGACAUCAUAGAGGGUGAGAAUCCCGCAUUUGACCAUUAUUUUCAGCUGUGUGAUACACUUUCAAAGAGUCGGAUUGUUUGGGAAUGCAGUCCAAAAUGGGUGGUAAAUUUCAUCUAAAGCUAAAUAUUGGCGAGAGACCGGUAGCGAACAAGUACCGUGAAGGAAAGAUGAAAAGAACUUUGAAAAGAGAGUUAAACAGUACGUGAAAUUGUCAAAAGGGAAGCGUUUGACACCAGUGUUGUUUUUCCGAAAAUCAAUUACGAAUGUUUUGUUCUUAAGGAGUUAUGACUUCAUCGGCUUGCUUCUCUCUUUAUGAAACUUUCUUAAUGCACUUUUCGGUUAACAAGUCAACAUCAAUUUCUUUUGUUGUAAAAGGGUAUGAGGAAGGUGGCUUUCUUUUCGGAGAAAGUGUUUAUAGCCUUGUACCUCUGCAAUCGGAGAGAUUGAGGUCUGCAGCGUAGAUCCUUCGGGGUUAGAUGCAUUUGUGCUAAGUUAUAGCUUUUCAUAGACAACUUGUUGACUAUUAAUCAAUCUUGUAACUUACUCGCUUAUGCUAUUUUACCUACGCUUAGGAUGUUGAUAGUCACAGCGUGUAC